CUCGUACGUCUGCUGGGGGCAGAUGAAGUGGAUGUGGGAGUCCAUGCCGCCGGCGGUGACGAUCUUGUUCUCGCCGGCGAUGACGUCGGUGCAGCUGCCGACGACCAUGCCCUCGGUGACGCCGUCCAUGACGUCCGGGUUCCCGGCCUUGCCGAUGGCGACGAUCAUGCCGGCCUUGACGCCGAUGUCCGCCUUGUAGAUGCCGGUGUGGUCGACGAUGAGCGCGUUCGUGACGACGAGGUCGAGGCAGUCGGCGUCGGCACACCCGCUCAUCUGGCCCAUGCCCUCGCGCAG
rnacentral:sRNA from 1 species